AAGUCGAACGAAGGCUCUAGCUUGCUAGAUGUCCUUAGUGGCGGACGGGUGAGUAACGCGUGGGAACCAACCUUGGAGCGAGGAAUAACUAUUGGAAACGAUGGCUAAUACCGCAUACGCCCUCAGGGGGAAGGCUUCGGCCACUCCAAGACGGUCCCGCGUCUGAUUAGCUAGUUGGUGAGGUAAUGGCUCACCAAGGCGACGAUCAGUAGCUGGUCUGAGAGGAUGAUCAGCCACACUGGGACUGAGACACGGCCCAGACUCC
rnacentral:rRNA from 1 species